rnacentral:tRNA from 1 species
GAAGGUAUAGUUCAAGUGGUAGAGCACACGCUUAGCAUGCACGAGGCCCUGGGUUCAAACCCCAGUACCUCCU